rnacentral:rRNA from 1 species
UACAGAGGUCUCGAGCGUUGUUCGGAUUCAUUGGGCGUAAAGGGUGCGUAGGUGGCGCCGUAAGUCGGGUGUGAAAUUUCGGAGCUUAACUCCGAAACUGCAUUCGAUACUGCGGUGCUUGAGGACUGGAGAGGAGACUGGAAUUCAUGGUGUAGCAGUGAAAUGCGCAGAUAUCAGGAGGAACACCGGUGGCGAAGGCGGGUCUCUGGGCCGUAACUGACGCUGAGGAGCGAAAGCGUGGGGAGCGAACAGG